ACUCAAAUGAAUAGACGGGGGCCCGCACAAGCGGUGGAGCAUGUGGUUUAAUUCGACGCAACGCGAAGAACCUUACCAGGGUUUGACAUCCCUUGACUGCUAUAGAGAUAUAGUGUUCAGCUUGCUGACAAGGAGACAGGUGGUGCAUGGCUGUCGUCAGCUCGUGUCGUGAGAUGUUGGGUUAAGUCCCGCAACGAGCGCAACCCUUAUUCUUAGUUGCCAGCAUUUAAGGUGGGCACUCUAAGGAGACUGCCACGGAUAACGUGGAGGAAGGUGGGGAUGACGUCAAGUCAUCAUGCCCUUUAUAUCCUGGGCUACACACGUGCUACAAUGGUUCGUACAGAGGGAAGCAAAGCCGCGAGGUGGAGCCAAUCCCAGAAAGCGGACCUCAGUUCGGAUUGGAGUCUGCAACUCGACUCCAUGAAGCAGGAAUCGCUAGUAACCGCAGAUCAGCAUGCUGCGGUGAAUACGUUCCCGGGCCUUGUACACACCGCCCGU
rnacentral:rRNA from 1 species